rnacentral:rRNA from 1 species
AUGUCUACGACGCUCUCAUCUAUCCAAAUCGCCAUCUUCCUCAACCUCCCUGGCCCCCCAUCUUUCCACACCCUCAUCUUUCCCGACCUCCCUGGCGCACCCAUCUAUCCACACAACCAUCUUCCUUGGCCACAACUUCAAGCCCUCCUUUCCAAAUCAGACACGACAUGUGGUAGUAGAGUAACGCGACGAUGUAGUGGUGCAGAGCAUGUGGUGGCAAGGAGGAUGAGGGACUCGUUCCCACAUAAGGGAGAGGAGGUGAAACCUAACCGUGUGUGGUUCUCACUUGUCCAACAGCAACAGUGGUCCCUUCUUCUAGCAAUAACACUCACAUUUUGUCUGGCGGCAUCACCAUUGAGUUCCUACUUUCUCUCUCUCCCUCCCAUCAUCUUUAUUCCUCCCUCUCUCUGUCUCCCUGCCUCUCUCUCACCCUAUCUCUCUCCAUAG